CUUCUCUCUCUAUCCUAAGGCCAAACGCAACAUCUUCACUCACCAUUUCCUUCUUCACCCUGCUCCUCACCAAUGGCUUCCCUCACUCUCCCUAACCACUAUCUUCCCACCUUGCUUCGCUCUCACUCCCCCAACUACCCAUCUUCCCAAAAUCUCUCACUCUCUUCCACGCCAUCAAAUUCUCAAUUUUUCGGUCUCAAGUUGUCUCAUUCUCCCUCUUCCUCAAUCCCCUCUUAUUCUUUCCUCAGAACCUCCAUUUUCGCCAAGGUACAUUUCACUCUUCAUCAGCUUUUUGCAUGUUGGUAACUUAACUUAAUAGUUGUUUUGUGUUGUAUGUUCCUUGAUAGGUGAGUAAAGGUUCAAGCCCACCGAAUUUCACACUGAAAGAUCAGAAUGGGAAGAAUGUGACCCUCUCCAGCUUCAAGGGAAAGCCAGUAGUUGUGUAUUUCUACCCUGCUGAUGAGACUCCUGGCUGUACCAAACAGGUAAAUACACACAAUGUCUUCUAGGAAUAAUUCAAAGUGGAGAUGCCAAGUUUUUAAAGAUUUUUGGUGAUUAGUGUAGUAAAAUUUAUCGAACUAGUGCAUAUUUCAUUUGGAUAUUACUGAAAUCAGCAUAUUUUUUUUUAAAAUUACAUCAAUGAUUCACCAGAACAACUUUGUUUAAAGAAGUCUUGUUUUAUAAAUUUGAUUCCAAGGUUAGGUAUGACUCUUGAAAUCAUGAAUGUUGACAACAACUUUACUGUAUAUGAAGAACUGGUAUGACAACUUUGAUUAUUGGUAAUUUAGAGUUGAAUCUUUUUAUAUAUAUAUAAAAUGAAAUCAUCAGGGUAUAACAGGGUUUGAGUGUAAUUAGAAUUGAAGUAGAAGAAGUAGUGCAUCCGAAACAACGAUUUAUGUAAUUGUAGGCUGAGCGCCGAUCAAUUAAUAUAUGCUAAUAUUUUUUGCACUACUACACUAUUGCAUUAAUGUAUAUAACUAAAUUUUUAUAACUUUAUUACCGUUGUAAAAAUGAUAAGUAAAUUAUUAUAACUGUUGGUUGUGUUUCUGCUGUGGCCUUUCGAAGUAUUGUUCAAGAAGAAUCUCGAUAGAACUCUGGUGUUGUAUAUGCAUGAUACAAAUGGAGGGUAAUAAAAGUUAGAGAAUACUUCACACCCUGUUAGGUUUAUCUGUACUAUUCUUGAUUUGGUUAUCUCUGUAUCCCUAUUGUGGUUCAUCUUUUGCUAGAAGGUUCUUGAUGUAUAUAGUUAUUGGGUUUUAGUCACAGCACAUUAGCUUAAGCAGUCAGAUUGGGUCCAAAACCUCUAAGGGGAGUCCUGAGCAGGUUGUCUAUGGAGCAUGAAGGAUUAUGGUAUAAUUCCAACAGGGUAAAGGCCUGCAAUUGGAUUAUACUGUCCUGGUGGUGGUACAAUGUAUGCAAGAACAUACAAUCAAAUCUAAAGUUGUAUAGCAAUUAUAAAAUGUCUCAUAAAAAUGACCAACAAUUUCUUCUGACAUAGUCUUAUAAUACGNNNNNNNNNNNNNNNNNNNNNNNNNNNNNNNNNNNNNNNNNNNNNNNNNNNNNNNNNNNNNNNNNNNNNNNNNNNNNNNNNNNNNNNNNNNNNNNNNNNNNNNNNNNNNNNNNNNNNNNNNNNNNNNNNNNNNNNNNNNNNNNNNNNNNNNNNNNNNNNNNNNNNNNNNNNNNNNNNNNNNNNNNNNNNNNNNNNNNNNNNNNNNNNNNNNNNNNNNNNNNNNNNNNNNNNNNNNNNNNNNNNNNNNNNNNNNNNNNNNNNNNNNNNNNNNNNNNNNNNNNNNNNNNNNNNNNNNNNNNNNNNNNNNNNNGGAAGAGAGACUUAUGUGAUUGACAAAAAAGGGGUGGUCCAGCUUGUCUACAACAAUCAAUUCCAACCAGAAAAGCAUAUUGAUGAGACCCUGAAAAUACUUCAGAGCCUUUGAGCCUUUUCAUUCUUUUGUUUUCUAUUCCCGCGGGCCUCAUUCAGUGAAUUUUAAGUUUGUAAGCACUGUAAUUAUGUAGCUGACUUUGGAGCCUUUGACACAUUCCUUGGAGGUCAUGACAUGUAGAGACAAAAAAUUUAUAACCUCUCCGGAUGGAAAUAAUGCCUCCUUCAUUUGCCAAAAAUACAGUGAGAUUAUUAUAUAUGUAUCUUUUGCACAUGGUGAUGUUAUGUUUAGCUUCAAUUGACAAAGUGACCAUCCACUAUAAUUUCUAUAUGAUUUGAAUUUGCUAUUUGAAACAAGGUUCCCUUCAGCAAUACAUAUGAUUUAUUUGAUCAAAGUUGUUGUAACAUUGAAGGAGUUUUGACUACAUCCAUGGAACAUGACUCUCAACUAUCUAAACGACAUUUGGCUCUCAACUUACCCUUAAAUUUUUCGCCCUCGGUUUUAAGGUACCACCAAACUUAAAACCAGUGCAGCAAUUAUUUUUAUUAUUAUUACUAUUAUUAUUAUACUAGUAUUUAUGCAGUCACUGAGAGAGUGGUAGUAAGCUUAUAUAUUCAAUCUUCCUUGGCAUAGUCUUCAAUGCUAUAGGGGCCAAAUACUUCGGAUAACCAGUUCUUUUUCCUCCAGGAACUCCACCCUAAAUCUUUACAAAUUUCAUCACUAUGGUUGAUGCUAUAAGUUGAAAUGCAGUGCCUCUUAUAGAACCUAGUUGACCUUUUCAUCACUUCUAUCUCCUUGGCUGUUUGUGAAAGCAUGCUCUCCACACUUGGGAGCUUGAAUUUGUCAUCUACCAGCCCAGAAAGCCACAUGGAACGUAUCUCUGACGAGUGAAGAUUUGAAACACUCUCAACGAAACCCACAAAAGCCAUGUUUGGAAUCAAUGGAUGGAUAGUUCCCCUAUCAUGAUCAGCAUGAAUCAUCUGUUAGUUCUCACAUACGAAUAUUUAACAUAAUUUUGAACACAACCAAUUAUCAGGUAAAAUUUAUUAAAAAUUACAAAAUCACAAUUGUAAUUAUAAAAACGAAAUACAUUCUUCUGAUGUAGUUUUGUAUGGAAGCAAGCACAAUGAAUUGAAGCGUCCUUCUUACCUAUAUAAAGGCAUAAUACCAGAAGAGUACUCCAACAAGCUACAAAAAGGCUCUGGUAAAAUAGUUUUGAGUUUUUUCUUUCCAUCAAAACCAGUUGCAAGAAUCACUACAUCAGCAUUCAGCUUAGUGUUGUCUUCAAAUUCAAUUCCUCCAUUCCAGAAGCACCACUUUGAUGCCUUCUUAAAGACAAUUUUUCCUUUUUCAGCCUCGGAGAAGAAAUUUUCUGGCAUGAUGGCCAUUUGACAAGAUGCAUAAUCCUCCACAAAUGGGUGUUCUGGUUUUAAUCCAUACUUCUCCAGUGGAAGUUUCCAUAGAAGGUAGGACUCAAUAAACUUUGAAAUUCCACGCCUCUAUAACAUAGCAAAAAAGCAUUAGCUAUGCUUGUAACAACCAUAAUUAACAUAUAUGUGAUUCAGGAUAGUGAAAAACUUUAAUGUAAUUUACCAGUGGAGAUAACAUGAGGCAAAAAAGAGUCCUGAGUAAGCCUUGAUCGGGUCUCUCGUGGAUAAACUGAGAAGAUCUUGUUGAGAAGAACAUGAAAAAGGGCAAUCCCCAAAUCCAGUAAUGGGGAACUGUCCAAUGCAAAGUCCUUACAACCAUGGUGCAAGCUUGUCCUUCAGCUCCUUCAGAACAAUACACCGUCAACUUUGUUAUGCAUGUUGAAAUUUAAGAAACAAAAAAAGAGAAGUAAAACAAGACAUGUAAUUAAUUAGCUAUCUAUAUCUUUUAAUCUUCAUUACUUGGGCCAUGCAGGUUACUCACAACUCUUAAUUGACAAAUAAUGGAGAUUAUCUUAAUUAAUAAUAACUAAUAUAAUGAUAUGUUAUUAUAAGCAAAAAGAACAUAAAAAAUUAAAUUAGUAAAUUCCACACAAGUAAAUGAUGUGUUAUUGUAAUUAUGUUUGCCUGUUACUCUGUAACAGGAUGAAAAACAUUGAGACAGCCAAAUUCAAAUCAAAAUAUUUGAAAAAAAGAAAUUUCUUUGAUUUUUCUAAACAAUAAUUAACACUUAUCCCUCUCUGUCUAUAGCAUGGUAAGAUCUACAUGUCAAAUAGCUUGAAGGUGUUUGUCAAUGAUUUUUCAUUAUUUAUCGAAGUUGGUGGAUGCCAUGAGGUGUUGAAAUUUUAAUGGACUUUUCUUAUGAUGAUAUAAGACUCCCACACGUUGCUUUCAUGUCUGUGGGUGAAGAUGAAGGUUGGAACCCGUCGUUUAAAGCCAUUUCCAAACAUUUGUGAAAGUCAAAACUGAUUUGUGGAAUUCUAUUUUAUAUGACUCAUGACCUAUGAAUUCGUUUCAUAUAAAGCUUCACAUGAAAUAUUAUAUUAAAUAAAAUGAAAAGAACAGUAUGCAAGUCAAAACAUAUUUGUUUCAUACAUAAAACAAAAAGAACAGUAGUGUGCAAUCAAAAACAUGCAAGUAGCAACUUGGAAAAUAAAGCCCCUACUUGCUUUAGCAUUCAAGAAAAGCAAUAAUAUAAAUUAUAUACAACCAAAAAAUCAUUUGGAAAAUUAGUGUUGUCUCCGUUGGUGCUUUAUAAGCAGUAGAACUGAAAAUGACAUCGUGACAGAAAAUAAAGCAGAAAGGAAAGCAAAAAGUAAUAGUGCCAACAUGAAAAUGAGGUUCAAGAAAAAAACAAUGUCGUUAUUUUCCACAGCACAGGCGACAGAUGAUAAAUAAUAGGCAACAUGUUCAGUCUGGAGCAUUGAACGCCACCUUUGUCAUAACCAAACUGUAAAAAAGGUUUGAAGAAUAGCAGAAGAAAUUUGAAAGAAAAUCGAGGCACACGCAUGCAUCAAAAUAAUUGCCAGCUUUCACAUUGAUUAGUCAACAGUUCAUUUUCUUUUCUUUUUAAAGGAACCAUAAUACGUUACCAAAUACCAUAAUAUUUUUUGGUAUUGACAUUUUCAUUACAUGUAUUUCUUAACCACUAAUAAUAAUUUGAGGGGAACAAAGAUUUAAACAAUAAAUAACUCAUAACAUGCUGAUAAAAAAAAACUCGUAAAACAUAGUAAUUUUCAGUUUUACUUCACAAAAAUAUUUCACAUGCAUCCAACAGAUGUUAUUUGUGCAUCUUCUACCAAACGUUUAAACAGCAUUUUUUGUUUUCAAAAUGAAAAAAACCAACUAUUUGGAUUAAUUUUAUUCUGACUGAGUUACUCUAUAGCUAAAGCGAUAAAUUAUAAAAGAACAGAUAAUGUUUCUGACGGUUAGAAUAUGAUAUUUAACAACAAUAAGUUACCAACUAGUAUGAUUUGUUGUUUAUAAAACUCAUAAAUUAUAUAUAGCCCUUAUUAUUGCAAAUAUAACUGUAAUUAGAUUAUUUAUUUAGGCUUAAAAGUCACAUAUUUUUACAUAUUGAUGCAGUGUUAAUUCACUGGAGAAAGUUUCUUCAUAAAUAUCUUUAAAAAAAUAAACAAACUAUUUAACUUAUGUAAAAAUGUAAUUUUUACAUAAGUUAAAUAGUUUGUGUGCAUUAAAAAUUAUAUUUAAAAACUUAAUGUAAAGUUCUAGAGUUUAACUGAUACAUAAAUUAAUAACUAAUAAAAAAUUAAUUUUGUUUUUUAUUUUUAUUAAAUUACUUAAUGAAGUUUUUUUUCCAAAGGGAAUAUAUAUAUAUAUAUAUAUAUAUAUAUAUAUAUAUAUAUAUAGUAAAGAUGGGAUUAUUAUUACCUUGGUUUGCCUGUGCACACUCCAUGGCUAAAUCAAGAGCUGACUUUUUGAAACCAACCACUACCACCUUUUUCCCUUUGAGAAGUUCAGUAGCAGCUUCCUGGUCAAGUUUACAGUAAUCUAACGAAUGCAUCACCUUUCCCUUGAAUAUCUGUGGCCCUUUCUUCUGUGGAAACGAUGGAAUCUUGGGUGUGUCCCCAUAUUUCCCAAUGCACACCACCACAAACUCGAACCCAUACCACUAAUGGAUUAAGGAAACAAUUAUCAGCACAUGCUCAUAUCAUUUUCAUACAACUUGUGUCAAAUAUUUUUGUUAAUUAGUUUACAGUAAAAAGUUCUGCUACACAAGUUUGUAUCAUUCAUUUGAAGAUACUUAUUAUUAAUCAUAAAUGUUAAAACUGGCAGAUGGAAAUUAUUAAAUUUAGUAAAUUGGAUUAAGGAAAAAAAUACCUUUAUGUUGGUUAAUUGAACUGUUUAAGUAUAUUUAAAAUGGGAAUUUGUAAUUAACAAAUAUUUGAUAUGAUGCAUCUAGAUAAAAGGGUAAGGUAGCUAGUAAUUUUUCACAUUAUAUUCAUCUCAGCUCAUCACUGGUAUAAAAACAAAAGUCACUGAUAGGUCAGAAGCUUCAUGCAACAAAACACUCGAUUUUUCAAACUGGCAAAUUGUUUUAUUUAUUUUUUAAGUACUUUAAAUUCAAAAGUUACAAAAUGUAUAACGAUCGUGGAAUAAUAAAUAGUCCAAAACAAUAUUUCAUUAUCAUUUUAUAAAUUGAAAAUACUAGAUAAAAAUUAUUUUCAAAUGCAUUUUUAGAAAUCUAAAGAAACAAAAGUGUUCUUCCUUUCUUUGUGGGAUGACGUGAUGAGAAGAACUUUUGGCAACUUGUUUCUCAGUUUUGAAGAGUAAUUCGGAAGUAUGUGGAAGAAUAAUAACAUUAAAAAUCUAUACUCACAAAUUGUUUAAACCCUAGGUGUGUUUUUUUAUGUAAAGAUACGAAAAGAGUUUGAUUUUGAGAAGGUAAUAAUUUGUGAAGACCUGAAUGGUGUCUGAGUGAUUGGUCUGCACAGCAACUUCCCACACAGGCUUACCGGGAAGCAGGCUUGAAAAGCCAGUGACUUCCCGGUUGCCGGAGAAGCGGAUUUCCACCACCUUGGAGUUGAACCUGAUGUUCUUGAGAACAUCGAAGUGGUGAGCAUAAGAGUGCAGAUAACUGAGUAUCUCCAAAUGGGUGGGGAAAUCGGGAUUGUCCCUGUGAGGCCAAGGGAAAUCGGUGAAUUCAUAAUCACGACGAUGAGACUGAAGCUUGGUGGAGUUGUAGGAGCAAUGGCUCCAAACCCCACCAAUGGAAUCUGAGGCCUCAAAAACAAUAGGGUUGUGAUGGGAUAACUGUUUAGCAGCUGCUAUGCCACUUACCCCAGCCCCUAUGAUGCCUAUUUUUGAGACCAAAAUGGGAUGGUUUUGGUUAUCCAUGUAAUAUGAUUUGGUAUAACUGGGAUCCAUUUUCAACAAGGUGUUUAUGUGUGUAUCUAUUUGAUGAACUGAUUACUGCUAUCAAAAUGGUAGCCUUAGAAAUGUAUUUAUAGAUGUAUGCAGCUGCAUCACUCGUCACUGUGAUGUCACAGAGCGUAGACUUCUACAGUGAACAAAUCAGAAAUACAAAAAUACAUAAUAUAAUGCAUGCAGACCCAGCUUUGUUUUACAUCUUGAAAAACACAUAAAAAAUAUAAAUGUAUUAAUAAGAGAUAUUUAGCACUUUUAAUAAUAUUACCAAGUUUUAUAAUGUGUGGUUUAUAUGUAAGUGUCUUACUAGUUAUUAUUUCUAGGAAAUUCUUCCGUGGAUAUAACUUAAUAUCUCCUUUUUAUACAUAUUUAAUAGGAAUUUUAUAAAUAAUAAAAUAAAAUCAUCAUUUAUUAUAUUUGUUUCGAUUCUUUUUAAUUUGGAAAUGAAAUAAUUAGAUUUUUAUAGUAAGAAUUUGAUCGGAAAAGUAUUUGAUGAAUUAUGCAGAGAAAAUGGAGUGAAUAUAUACAGCCAGUAGAUUCAUAUCUCUCUUUUUAUAACUAAACCUCUCUAUAGUACUCCAAUUAAUUUAUUUUAUUUUUCGUUAACCUUGAAUAUUAAUUAUAUACAUAUUUUUGUGUUUCUAAUAUUAAUGAGAUACUGUUUCGUGUAGCAUAAAUUAUAUAUAAAUAUUUAAUGAAUAUAGAAUGAAAAAAUCGAUACUCUCUUAAAUAACUUUAUUCAUGAUUUAUAAAUGUCUUUCUACAUUGGCAAGCCAUUCACAUUUUAAUAUGUAUUUGUGAGGGAAGUACAUUUUGUUGGACACCAAGUUUUUUUUUUUUUAUCAAUGAAUAAACAAAUAUGGAUAUUUUAAGAAUGAUUGAAUCCUUAUAAGUUAUGGAACUUCUAUCUAUGCAUGUGGCAUGAAUAUGUUUGGAAAAUUAAGAUAAUUACGAGGCCAUGACCUUUUCAAACAGAAACUAACGUGACUAUAUAUAUAUAUGAAUCCACGCCAAUAAGGGGUGAUGGUCAAAGUACUUAGAAAACAUUCAUGAAAACACUUUAUUUAUAGGAGGUAUAUACAUAGAAAGUGAACCCUAAGAGGGAUUAAAUAUGUAUAUCAUCGUAUAUUUCAUUUAGGCUUUUUUUAUGCUCCAACUCUAACUUGACAGAAGUAAUUUAUUUUAAGAAUGCUGAUAUGUUGAUAAUUCUACAACAAAUUUUUAAAUGUUAGAAUAUUAAGGAUUCAAGAAUAGUAGAUCAUACACAGAUAUGUCAGAAGAAUAGGAGUGUGAACAUAGCUUGCAUCAAUGACUAUGCAAAUUAUAAAAAAAAAAUAGUCCAAACACGUUGGAAUAAAGUUAGUAGGACCAACCAACCAACGUACAUAGCCAGUGAGAGAACACCUCGUGCACGUUUUACAUUUUAUAAACCUCACUCGAUGAACUUCUUUACAUUUUUUAAAACUAAAAAGACACGUAUUUCGUGUAAAUCUUAUUAUAAUUCUUGUUUGCGGUGAACUAAGUAUUACAGAAUAUUGGUUAUUCAGACUAAUUUGGCAAAUACGUUUAAGAAAAUGAUAAAAUGGUUGUUAUAAGUUGAAAAACAAUUGUUAAUUGAUUAAAGACGUGCAUGAGUAUAUAGUAAUAAUUGAAGUAAAAGAAAGAAUGGGUAUGAAGGGGCGUGGUUUUGUUUUGUGUUGACCAUGCAAAACUUUCAAGUCGAGUUCAAGUUUAGGGACUUCAUUCUCGCAACCAAUUGAUUUACAGCGGAUGAAGUCAACCACUAAACAAUUAUAUUAACACAGCCAUAAAUUUACAGGAAAAUAAAUUUGCAGCAUAUGAGAAAAAUGAAUGUGAUGACGAUGUUGGGUGUCACAUCUGGAAUGAAUAGAGAGAUAAAGAUAUAGAAAAGGUGGAAGGGAAGGUAUAUGGUAUGCAUGCAUCUCUCACAUUCAAGCAUUGCUAAGAGGUGGCUUGGGAUUUGGCAUUAUUUUUGGAAAACUCAUGCAUGGAGGCUGGGUGGGAAAGGGGUAGGAACCUUGGAAGGAAGUUUGGGAGGAACAUUGCACUUGGAAACACUUUAUGCAUGCAUGGAAAAUUGGAAACGGCUCUUGAUAUAUCAGAUUAUUCUCAUUUUUGCAUGCCACCUACAUUUCCUUCCUAAGUUCCUAACCUUAAUAAUGGAUCAUAUUCUGUUUUUUUUUUCUAAGUGUGAACGUUAUAAUAUUUUCAUUCUGACGACAAUGUCAAGGCUCUUAUAAGCAAUUGGACCGUAUUAUUUUUUGUUGACAAUUUUUUGAUUCAACGACAGCGUAAAAGUCUAUGAUAUCAGUUUCAAAAACACCAAGAGGCACAAGUAUGGCAAACUUACAUAUUUUAAGGUUUUUGAUAAGAAAUAAAUUACACGAUUUGGUAGUUUGUAUUAGUAGUUUAUAUAUUAUUAUAAUUGGGUAACGCUGUAGAUGUUGAUAGAAUAUUGUUCAGUCUUUGGAGGUUUCUUCCUGUGCUUUUCUACUUGCUUUUACAUCCGAAUCCCAACUAAAUCUCAAUCAGAUUAUUUAAUGGGGGUUAUUGCUUAAAAAAAUAUAGUAUAGUGAGUAUAAUAUACUGCUACGUAUUUUACUCUAAAAAAUACACACACAAAAAACUAUUUUGAUACGGUUUAUUGCUUAAAUGGUUGAGAAUUUGAAUUUAAUAAUAUAAUAGUGCGUAUACUUUAGUUAAUAAAAAUUGUGAAUAAUAUAUUAUUAUAAUUAGAUGUUUAAUAGUUGUUAUCUAAUAUACAUUACAGGAUUAUGUGUAAAAGAUAUAAAGUUCUAAGCUGUAACUCAUAUCUAGAAAGUUAUAAACUGGGUUGUACAUAUGGACUGAAUUUGUUUUUCUUAUCAGAAAAGGUAAAUAAAUGUAAAGUAUUUUAAAGAUUAUUACACCUAGUGCAUAAUAAAAAAAAACACUUUCUAUUGUGUUUGGAUUGAGGAGGGAAUUUGUGAGGAGGAGAGGAAGUGAAUUUGUGAGGAUUAGAGAGGAUAUGUGAAGAUAUCUAAGGUUGUUUGGAUUGAGAAAUUUGUGAGGAUGUUUUAUUGUAAGUUUACAAAUUUAUCUUUGUUAUUAAAAUUUUUUUGAAUAAUAAAUUAUGAUUCUUUUUGUGUGUAGGCUUGAAUUAAUUAAAAUUUUCUAAUAUAUAAUAUUCAUAAUUACUCCUAUUUUUAAUAAAAAAAAUUAAAAAAUAUAAUAGAAAAUAUUUUUGUGUUAAAUUGAAAUAAAACUAUUAAAUAUAUUAAAAUUUAUGAAAAUAAUAUUUAUUAUUAUAUUCAUUUAUUAUUUUAUAUAACUAUAUAUAUUUUGUUAAUAUUAUAAUUUUUAUUUUAUUUUAUUACUUUCAUUAUUUAUAAUUGUAUGUUGUUAUUAAUAGUAUAAUUAAAUAUUUUUGAAAUUAUAAAUAAAUUUAUGUAAUAUUUAAUUUUGUAUAUUGUAAUAAAAUGCAUGUACAAGAAUAUUUUGGUAAAAUACAACAAUCUCCACAAAUCUCUUCAUUUUGUGAAGAAUGAAAAAAACCCUCCACCCUCUUCCACAUCCACCCCUCACUCUCAAAACCAUGGAAAAAAACACAAAAAACACUCCCUCCCUCUUCACACUUGGAAGCAAACACACCCUACACGACAGAAAAACAAUAGACCCUACUACUGAAUUUGUAAUUAACUUUUCAAUGUAAUAACUUCUUCAUAUUUAUGUUUUUCAUCAUCAUAAGAAGAAUUAACAAAUACAAAGCAUACCUCAACUCUAUUACAAUAUCCCAAAAGAAACAACAUCGAGCAAAAUAGGAUGAAUCACCUUAUGUAAUAUUAAUUACCUACGUGUAAGUUUCUUCAACUUCCUUUGGUUCGUUCGAGUUACUCGAGAUAACUAAAUAUUAAAAUGAGUGAAAGACAUUAGUUUUAAUCAACCAAUGUUAUAAUAAUAUGAGAUAUAUUAAAAAAGGUAAUUGAAAUAUUAAGAAUAUAUGCUCUGAUAUGUGAAUUGUAAUAUUUUGACUUGUCUUAGACAAGAUCAUGGUUUGUUUUUUUUUUUUUUAAAGUUGUUAAAGUGCGUAAGGAAUCUAUUAAUUCGUUUUGUUAAAGAAGGGUGUUAUUGACAAGUGCAAUGUAAAUAUACAAAAACAUAUUUGAAUAGGAAAUUUGUGGAAGAACAAUUUUCACAACUUUGUGCAUCACAUUACUAGAAUUGUGUUUUGUUUGUCAAAUGCUCUGAAGUGGAAAUGUUGUGUUGUGUAUGCAGGGCCAAAGAAUAAAGAACGAUGUGUUAGGAGAGGAGAGUAGAUGUGGGUGAAAAGAUGGUUAACAACAGACGUCAAGAAAAAAAUGUUUUUCAUGAUGAAAUACAAAGGUAAAAAUUAUGUAAUGAUGCAGGUUGGGGCUUAUUAGUGGCUGGAGUGUGGGGAUUUUAGUAGGAAGAGUACAAUGUAAUUUGGUACUUGGUUAAUAGUAAUUCAAUUGGAAAAACAAAGUAAUAUAAUAAAUGGAAUGUGGUGUCUAUAUGAAAAAUGCAUAUUUUCAAGUUGUGUUACAGGAGUUACCUACUUCUAGAAAUAAUAAAAUGAUGGAAUUGGAUAUGUAGAAGUAGAUGAAAAUAUUAGGAUGAUCUGUAUAAGAGUUGGUCCCUAAAAUACCUCCUAUUAUAUUAUUUUUUUCUUACUAAUAAAAAAAUUUAUAAUAAUAUUUCAUUCCCUAUAAAAAAAAUCUAGAAUGUUUCUUAGUUAUGAGUGAAUAAGACAUAAUUUUUGCUACAUAUAUGGCAAAAUCACUAUAUUCAAACAAACUCGAAAAGAGCAGUGUAGGGAUAAAGAGGUCAUGGUGCUUUGCUGCAAAGAAGUCAUCAUAAUGUAGCCUUGAAAUCAUUUUUUUUUACCAGCAAGUAGCAAUGAAAUUAAAUGGGUCCACUUCAGGGGUGGUCCAACCCUUAUACAGAAAAUUAAAUUUUCAAAAAGUACCUUUCCAUCUACAUAUCAACCAAUAUGACAUCCUACUGUCUAGCACAACUCUAUCAAUUAAAGAGAAAAAUAAUAGAAAUGGUCAACCUUUAUAAACAUAUUAAAUCAACUACAUACAUACCAAGGGUUCUAGACACCAGUCAGAGAAUGAGAAUUUAGCUGACGAUAUCUUUGAUGAAAUCCAGGACCAAACCUUAAGUUGUGCCAGGGAGAAAACUUCAAUAUGAUCAACCACUCCACCUUUAAAUAAACAAUUAUUCCUAUGACUCCAAAUCUCACUAACCAACGUGAUCCACACGUUAGCCAUGAUAAGAUUAACUGAAGUAGACGCGUCCAAAAUCUUGAACUGUUCAAAAUGAGACCUAGGAUCCAUAAAGUCAACCGAGCUCACACCUAACCAGUCGUAACAAAGGUUCCAAAUUAGCCAAGCAACUCUGCAACCAAAGAACAAAUGAUUUGUUGACUCCUCUGACAUCCUUCACAAACAACACAAAUUUUUCUCGACCUCUAUAGCUCUUCUCUCUAGGUUUAUCCUGCAAGCAACCUUGUUUUCAAUCACUCUUCAAGUUGUGACGUGAGCUGAGGGAAGCGCCUUAAUACUCCAGAAGAACUUGUACCUUCUCGAGUCCUCCUCAUUUGCUUCUCCCCUUAGAAAACCAUAAGCAGACUUAACUGAAAACUCUGCUGACUCACUAUCCUUCCAAACCUAUCUAUCCACUGUUUCCAUCUCGGUCCUCUUGUUGGAAAUCAUCUCUAAGACUUGGCAUUCUUGCUCCUCCUCCCAAGCGAAAAAAAAACCCUUCUCCACCUUAAGUUCCACUCCUAGGUCCCGUUCACCCUUGUUCUACAAUCACAUAGAUUUGCCUCCUUAAGAACGGACAAAGAAAACAACCUUGGAAACUUGCUUUUCAAGUCUUCUUAGUCUACCCAAAUAUCUGACCAAAACAGAACAUCUUUCUUGUUUUCGACCACCCAAUUUAAACGAUCUUCAAACUUCCCUCCACAUUCCUUGAACCUCCAGACCUUCAUUAAAUCUCUCCACCACAGUGAGACCUUACCAUUAUUAGUUCGCUGCUCCUUUAGUCCUCUCCAUCCUCCAUACUUAGAUUCGAAGACCUCCCUCCACAACCCCCUUGUUUCUGUUUUCAGACGCCAACUCCAUUUUUCCAGCAAAGCCAAAUUAAAUUGUUUGACAUUAAUAAUGUCAGCCCUCCCGCUUCCCUGGAUUUACAAACCUUAUCCCAGGAAACCCAUGCAAUCUUCCUUCCUUCUGACCCCCAUCCCCAAAAAACUUCCUCUGCAGACUCACGAUCUUCUUCAAAACGAUAGACGGUAGUUUGAAUAGUGAAAUAUAGAACAUACUUAAUUAAGCAUAUCCUCUUUGGCAUCGAGAUACAUCUACCUUUCCACCUGUCUAGCCUUCUCUUUACUCUGUUUACCAUUUCAUCCCAGAAGUCACCUCUCUUAUGACACCCCCCUACUGGCAUCCCCAAAUGCUUAAAAGGAGUUCUCACCUCGCAAUUUUGAAUUGUCGCAGAGUCUAGAAUCUCCGUCUGAUCCACCCCAACCCCACCAAGUAUGCUCUUGAAGAAAUUCACCUUAAGACCAGAUGUCAACUCAAAUCAAUUCAACAUAACCUUUAUGUUAAAUACACUUUUGAUAUUUGCCUUACAAAAAAACAAAGUGUCAUUAGCAUACUGAAGCAUAUUUACCUUUACCAACUUAUUCCCAAUCUCUAGGCUCUCAACCAAGUCUUUCUCAAUCGUAGUCCUAGAUACCCCAAGUAGCCCUUCAACCGCUAUGAGAAACAAGAACGAAGCUAAAUGGUUGCCUUUGUUCAGCCCCUUCUUUGGAAUAAAUUCCCUAGUAGGACUCCCAUUUAUGAGAAUUGACAUCGAUGCAGAUUCCAAGCAAACUUUAAUCUAGGAAAUCCACUUUCCACAAAAACCGAGCAUGCCUAGCAUAUAAGAAAUAAAAUUCCACCUCAUAGAGUCGUAAGCCUUCUCAUAAUUCACCUUGAAAAACACACAACUUUUCUUAUUCCUCUUCAUCUCUUCUAAAACUUCAUUGGCUACCAGAAUACUAUCCAAUAGCCCCCUUCCUUCAAGAAAAGCGGAUUGCCUAACGUUGAUAACUUUACUGAUCACUUUUUUCAACCUAAUAGCCAAAAUCUUCGAAACCAUUUUAUACACACACCCUACCAGCGAAAUCAGUCUAUAAUCGCUAAGUUGUUGUGAAUUAUCUGUCUUAGGAAUCAAACAGAUGAACAAAGCAUUUGAUCCACUAGGCCACUUACCCUUGACCAUAAAAUCAUUUACCACCAAGACAAAAUCUUCCUUAAGACAGCCCCAACAAUACUUAAUGAAACCGAAGUUGAAUCCUUCUGGACCAGAGCUCUUUGAACUAUCACAACUCCAAACAAUGUUCUUAAUUUCCUCUUCAGACACUACUCCAAUUAGUGACACAUUAUCUUUGUUUGAUAACGAUGUGAACCGAACAUUGUCCAGCCUAAUUACUAGCUCGGACUCCCCGACAAAUCUAGCUUCGAAAAACUCUUUGACCUUAGUCUUUACCACCUCCUUCUCUUCACAACAUUGACCGUUCACUUCUACCUCGUUUACCCAUUUCUCAUUCUCCUCCACUUCACAUAUGAAUGGAAAAAUCUUGUGUUUAAGUCACCUUGUUUCAACCAUUUUUUCCUUGCUUUUUGUUGCACGACCGCUUCUUGUUUGAAUAAGUUCUGACUUUGUUCAGCCAACAAGAGUCUCCUCUCCUCCCGCCCAAACUCAUCUAAUACGCUUUCAUCGUUUCUUGUAUCCAACUCUUGAAUUUUCUUUUGUAGUUCAUCCCCUUCUUGAUUGACGUUCCCAAAAACCUCUUUAUUCCACUUCUUCAAAUCUAGUUUUAACUUUUUCAAUAUCUUUUUUAGUACAAACAUCCCUCCGCCCAACACUUAAUUAUUCUGCCAUUUACUCCGAACAAAAUCUAAAAACCUUCUGCCACUUUGCCACACGUCUAGACUUCUGAAAGGUUUCAGCCCUCAAUCUACCGACACCGUUUUGAGCACUAGAGCACAAUGGUCAGAGACCGAUAUGCUGACAACUAGUUAUUUACUAUUUGGCCAUACAUCCAGCCAUUCCCUGGAAACAAGAAUCAUGUCAAUUUUGCUCUUAACCGUCCCAUUCGGCUUGUACCAAGUGAACUUUCUUCCGACCGUCAGAAUAUCCAACAACUCUGUGUUUUCGAUGAAACCAUUGAACCCCCUGGUCUCCCUACUAUAAUCUGAAACUGAAACUACGCUUUUUCUUUCCUCCUUUCUUCUAAUUGAAUUAAAGUCCCAAACAACACACCACACCCUGUUUUGUUGAAUCUUCCUGAGUUCACUAACCUCAUCCCAUACCUCCUUCCUUUCUUUGAACGAAUCAGAAUUGUACACAUUCACUAUCGUAAUUUGUAUCCCAGCUCCUACUUUCCAAACUCCUUCGACGAUUGAAUAAGAUUUCCCGUUAAAGUAGUUCGUCAUAUUAAAACUACUUCUUGUCCACAUAAUAAUAAUUCCUUCUUCAUUAUUAACUGCCUCGUUCUCCAUCCAUUCAAUUUCAUUUGAGCCCCACAAAAAAAUAGCAAUUUUCCUUACUAAUCUUUGCGCACUUUGUCUCCUGUAGACAGACCAUUCCAACCUCCUCUUUUCUAAUAAAGUCUUUUAAGUAAGUUCUUUUCGUACUUCCUCUUAUCCCCCCUUAUGUUCAUGCUAAUUAGACUCAUCAUCUGAAACACUAUUCUCCUUCUGAACACUCAUGUAAUCCUGAAUCUCCAAACUGCGAAGUCUGUUUAAGACAACCUCUUCUUCUCUUAAGAGAGUGAAUCUCAUCUCCUUACCGGAACUCCACUUCCUUCUCGCUUCUCCGUUUUCAUCUUUUAACCAAAGCAUUCUACUAUAGUGACUAACAUCACUUUCUGAAAUUAUAAUUUCUGGCCUUAAUCCCUUUAACGAAUCUGAUUUAGAUAACAUUUCGUCCAAGGGACCAAUUACAUCACUCAAAUAAGACAUAUUUCCCACCCCUCCUCCGAAACUAGCCAUCAUCCUCCCCACUGGACAACUUGCGGCAAGAGGUCCUGACUCUCUCACCUUAACUGAUGGAGAUCAAGCUCAAGUGGACAUGGAGGCCAAUCAUCAAGAGCAAGAAGAGGUUGAGGCUCAAAUGGAGGAUGCUCAUGGAGUUCAAAGCCCACCUCAAAGGCUUACAAGGAGCAUGUUCAAGGCUUUAGGAGCUAAUGGACGUUUGUUUUCUCUUUUUGUAAUUUCUUUGUUUGAAGGUGCUUAGAGGGAAACAUAAGAAACCUCUUUUGUCAAAGCAUCUUUAGGUCUUUAGUUUAGGAGUCUUAGGGGGGUGUGCGUUUAGUAGAGAGGUGUAGAAGUAAUAGGGAGGUGCCAAAGUGAGAGAGGAAGUCACACCUUCCUCAUGCUUGGCGCCACUUUCAUGUAAUUUGGGGGGAAUUUUGAAUUUAAUUAGCUUUGCAUUUCAGCACCUCUAGGCUAUAAAUAAAGGUGCAUAGCUUGUACAAUUCAGAUUUGAAUUUUGAAUUAGAGAAACUCUACUCAAUUUGAGAGAGAAUUGGAGUGCUUUGUGCCUUCCUCACUUAGUCUUAUCUUGAGAGUUCUUUGGUUACCUCAAGUGGCGGCAUAGCACACUCAUCUUGGAUUCUCCAUCCUCUAAGUGGCGUGAUCAUCCAACCAUUCCUCCAUCUUCAUGAGUUUUCUCUUCUCCUUCCUUCCUUCUCUUUUUAUGUUUAUGUCUUAGCUUGUUUCCUUUGCUUUUUCAGUUCGGUUUCCUAGUGUUCUUGUUGUUUUGCUUCGGUUCCUUUUUCUUUUUGCUGUCCUCAUUGUUUCUUCUUCAUUUCUAGCUUAUUUGUUCAGUGCAAUUCUGUUCUUAUGCAUUUUGUUCGGUGCUUUUGCCUUUUCAUUCAAAUUGUUCGGUUCAAUUUGAUAAUACAUGGAACUUCCAUAUGAGUUUGGGUUUUGGUACUAGUCUUGGUGAGUUCUUGAUCAUAGAACCUUGAUCCAAUUCUAUCAUAAAGUGUCUAUCUCAUAUCCAACUCAAGAUGAUUCCUAAGAAUGUCAAGAAUCAUUCAUAUUGUGCUAUUGGAAUCACAUCAUUAACCCUGAGCGUAGACAACAUUGCUACUUCGACGUCGAAGCCCUCGACCUCUCUGUUAUGUACUAACCCCACCAAAUUCGUCUUUUCCGCAAUGAUUGUCGUCUUGUCGUCUAACUCACUCCUAACUUACUCGUUUCUUGCUUCGACAAACCUCCGCACCUCUCCCUUUCCUUCUCCAAGCACCGUUGUCCCAGCCGCCAAACACCUGCCACUCUCUUUCUCAUUGACGUAGCCUUGGAAUCAUAAGGUUAGAAAAUUCAUCAUAAGGAAGAAUAAAAUGGAAAAGUAAGGCUGAUUUAGGAAAGCUUAUCUAGGAAAUGAAGAUUAGUGUUGGUUUAGUAUGUAAGUUGGUUUUGAUGCAUAAUUUUAUUUUUGUAAGGAAGUGAUGACUAUUCUUGUAAAACUUAGGUCCACAUUUGUUAUAGGUUUUGUUUUACCUUGAUUUUAAAUAUUUUGUUACUUGUAUAAAGAUUAAGAUACCCUAAAAAUAUUCUUUUUAAUUCAUUUAUUUUUUGUUAAAAAAUAUAAAAAAAAACUCACAUACGACUUUUAUAUAUAUAUAUAUAAACAGUUCAUAUAGAUGUAACCAAGUUUUAUAUAUAUAUAUAUAUUAUAUAUAUAUAUAUUUUGAUUGCAUCUAUAUAAACUGUUUUUAUCAAAAAAUUAAGGAAAUUAUAAUAGAACUGGAUAUUCUCACUACAUGAAUUAAAAAUGACAAACAUUACACAAGCAAGGGAUGUUCCUAUAAAAUAAAAAUAUAUUUUUGUAAUUUUAAUUACUUUGUACACUCUUUUCUUUAAAAACAUUUAAGAAAAUUAUUUUAGUUAAAUUAAUAAUGGUUUUUGUUCGAUUAAUUGCUUAGUAUAUUGUGUCUUGUCGCAGUAAUUAUCAGGGAUAUAUUAUGUUGAUUUAUGAUUGAAUUUAAGUUUAUUAGAGAAUUGAAAACUAUUGUGAUGUCGCACAUGUAACUUACGAAAAAUUACCAACAAUAUUAAUAUAAACAACUAACACACAAAUGUUACCGACAAACAAAAUAACACAUUGAAACAACAACAAUAACAAAUAUUUUUUUUUAAAAAAUUACUAAAUUUAAGAAUUUCGAAUCGACAUGAUUAAAUAUCAUUAAAUGAUCAAUUAGUCUUAUAUGGCAGUGUUGUUGUCAUAAUAUAACAACAAAUAACUCGAUAAUAUUAAACAAAUAUUAACAAUGUGAAAAAUAUCAUUAGAAAUUUAUUAAAAUACAUAAAAUAAAGUAAAGAAGUAUACUAUCAUGUAAUAAAAUACAUACAAUUUUAAAAAUAUAUUAUGUAUAGAGAUGGUGGAAGAAUGAUUAAAUAUAUUUAUUAAUUUAAAAUGAAUGUCUAUACAGAAACAUAGACAUAUAAGUACAAAAUUAAGGGGGAAAAGUGAAUUUGAAAUAAGAUGCGACAAUCACUUAACAGGGAUAUUGACUAUAACCACUACUCGUCCAUUGUUUCUUCCAAUUAAGUUUUAAAUUAAAUGCCAUCUUUAUCCGAAAGUAGCUUGAUUCCGCUGGAGUUCACAUGAAUUAGUACCCUAACAUACACACCAUAUUGCACAUCACAAUGACUGAAACCUACCCAUUGGCCAAUAAAAAGAUACUUUAUCGGACAAGUCAGUCACCACUUUUUAGUAACCGAUCGUGCAAGUAAAAAAAAAAAUAGAAAAUAUAAUAAAUAAUAACAGUUAUAAAUAGCGUGGAACGAGUCCAACUAAAAUAUGCGAGAAUAACUGAUUAAUCGAAAGAUACUUGUUCUUAUUAUCAAGGAACUAUAUAUAUGCAUAUCAGUUAAUAAAUAUAAUCCUAUGUAAAUAAAUGAAUAUGGUACGUUUUUCUCAUUUUUAACUAGAACACAUUCAAAGUGUUGGAAUACCUUUUGCAGGUAAUCCCCCAAUCGAUCGAAUAUCAACAUUUAAAAAAUGAGUCUUAAAGUAAUUAGGAGAUCACUGACACGCCAACAAUUAUACAACCAGUCAAAAGUACUAUUUGAACCCCUCAACCUAUAUAGGUAUAUAUAUAUAUAUAUAAAUAGUAAAAAAAAAAUUGUAACUUUUUCUUUAUGAUAAACAUAAUACAUUUUAGAUUCUAAAUAUAAAUAUGUGUUCUAAGCCAUAUUUAUAAAGUUUGACAUCAAAUAAAUUUAAAAGUAGUUUGAUCCAAUUUAAACAGAGUAAUUCUCAUUUUUGUAUAUCUAAAUUGUGGAUGAGAUUUAAAAUAUAAAAGCAUAGAACCAUAGACGCCCUUAUAAGUGAAUUAGUGAAAAACGAACAGUUUUAUCCAUAACAGUAGAAGCCUGGCACUGUCCCUGUCAUUUUGGAAAAAAACGUUUAAGGUACAUAGAAAUGGUUGAAUCCACAGUAUAGCAUCUAUUUUGAAUGUUCAGGUUUGGAGACUAAGGAAGUUGGAAGGAAAUUAAACCUCAUUCCUAUCACUCUUAGUUAGGACAGUGUAUACCUACUUUCCCUUGUCUCUUUCAUUUUCUUUCCUACAAUUAUUUUUCGACUCAUAUAGAAACUUGCCCAUAGAUUCUACACGGAUAAUAAAUAAAUUAAAAAGUUAUGAUAUAUUGAUAAUCUUCGAUCGAAUUAUGAUUUAAAAAAAAUGUUAAAUUAGUAUAUAAUCAAGAUUUUAAUUAUCAAAUUUAGAAUUUAGAUUAAUUGAUAACUAAUUAAAUACCAAUUUAAAAUUUAUUUUAUUAAUUUUAUUAAUAAUAGAAAAAAAUUAUAAUUAAUAAUUUUUUAGUCACAAAAUUGUAUCUAAUAUAAUAAUUAACUAUUUUUGUUUUUAAAAUUAGAUUUCUUUAAUGAUUGUCUUUUGGGGAAGGAAUGACAUUAUAAGUGAAUACAAGGAGUGACAUUACAAGUGAAUACAAUGGAAUAAAAUAUCUUUAUGAAAUUAUUUAAUUUAAAGGAUAAAAUUUAAAUUAUAAAAAAAAUUAACUGUGUACUUAAUUUUAUAUAUUUUUUAUUAUAUAAAAUUAAAAAAUAUAUUUUUUAAAAGCUCUCAUGUUAGGUAUUACUAUGAAACUUGACAUUUCAACUAGGCUAACAUCUCAAGUAACAACUAUCAUCUAUUAGCACAUAAAAAAAUAUUAUUAAAAGAAAAAAGAAAGGAAAUACAAAAAAAUAUAGGGAGACUAUAUAGGUGAUCUAUACAUAUUAAUAAAGAACUCUAAGAUGGAGAUGAGGGAAAGAGGGCAACGCAGAGGCCGAUUGGGUCGGCAUGAAGACGAACGGGUUACAUCUUUUUUCUUUUCGAACUUCCCUACCGGAGUUGGAGAGGUAGAAAUGUUCAAGGUGUUCCAAAAAUGGGCUCGCGUGAAGGAUGUCUUCAUCUCCCGAAGAUUAAAUAAAUGGGGAAGGAGAUUCAGUUUUGUGCGGUUCUUCGGAGUGAGAGAUGCGGGACGUUUGGAAAGAGAGUUGGACCAGUUAUAUGUAGGGAAUAAGAAGCUCUUUGUGCACAUCCCAAAGUAUCAGAGGAAGAUGGAGGAACAAAGUAGGUUAGAGGGGGGGCUUCGAACGACCCCUUUAAGGGCGCGGCGGAACGAAGAUAGCCCUGACCUUAAGAAAAUCACGGUGGCAGGGGGAGAACAGAGAAGGAAGGACAUAUGGGUGGAGAAGAAAGGAAAUAGGUUUUAUGCAGAAGUUGCUACUGGUACAAAUACAGAUCAAUGGAAGGGGGUAAGCUUUAAAACACAACAAUGUGUAUUAUCGUGGAUGACUGAGAGUGCGGUGGGGAAACUUAGGGGUGGUAAGAACGUUGAUCAGCUGGUGGAGGAGUUGGAGUCAGGGGGCAUGAGCACGUUGCGUGUAAGAGCUCUAGGGGACAAUUUUAUUCUACUAACACCAAGAGAAGGGGAGAAAAUGGAGAAUUUCAUAAAGGUCAAUAAUGAGUGGGUUGACUCUAUGUUUGAAAGCUUUAAGCCUUGGUCAGCCUCCAGUGGCCCAAGUCAUAAAUCAGUUUGGGUGAGGUGUUACGGACUACCGCUCCCUCUGUGGAAUGAAGAGUGCUUUACCAAGUUGAUUGGAACUCUAGCUCCGUCGGCUAUGCUGGUAGGCAUUGACAGUUAUACGAAGUCUUGGGAGAAUCUGGAAUUUGCGAGAUUACAAGUCCGGAUCCUGAAGUGUGAGAGGGCUAGGAUGGCAGAAUGUGUGAGGAUCAACAAUCAGUUGUGCAAUAUCCUCAUUGAAGAGGAGACUCCAGGUUGGGUUGGUGACAGUGGUAAGAAUGUAACUUCGUCAUCUGUGUCGUCGGAGAGUGUAUCGUCCUCAAAAACCUACAUAGAAGAAACAAUUUUCAUGGGGAUGAGCGGUGAGGAUGAAAAUAGGUUAUGGAGGGGCGAGGAGCAUCUGUCAAAGUGCGAACGGGAAGGAAAAAAGGCGAUGGAAGAAGAUGAUGAACAGUAUCCGAAUGAGACAAAACGGCUAUUUGUGGGCUCCCCUUCAAAUAUAAGAGGUUGUCAGUGGAAAGGGGGGAAAACCUUAAUGAAAUGGGCAGAAAGGAUGUGCUGAUGUUGAUUUGAUAUCUUUCUCUGAUGAGGACUGUGGGGUAGUUGGGUACGGCAAACCAAUACAAGCUGAGUUGGCAAAAUUGGUGAUAGAGCUGGAAUGUGGAAAUUGUUCACUAGGUACAUGUGGGCCAACGAACCUUGAAAGGAAGAAAGAGGCCCAUUUCGUAGGGGGCUGGGACGCACACUUAGCCCAGUCGGAAGCGGGAGAUGACGUUGAUGGAAAGAAAGUAGAUAAAGGGGAGUGUGGUUUAAAGGAUGCUACACUAACUAGCUUGGUGGAUCGUGUAGGCCUGUUAGGGGACCCAGGGGCGGCCCACGGUGAAGUAAAACGUUGGGCCCUCAUACACGAACCAAUAGAAAUAAGUCGUGUGCAGGACAAUGGGUCUUGCUCUAAGAAGGAGGAAAGCAUGGAGGAACAAGAUGGGUCUCGAAGAGUAACGGCGAGAGCACCAUCAGAGCCACUUUCUGGGAUGGAGAGAGAAGUUUAGCACUGCAAGCCAAACUCACCGCAACGGCUGAGUAAGAAAAGAGAACCUGGUGGUGUGGGGGAAUCACGAUCAUACCCGAGGCAAUCGGCAAGAAUCAGUGAAAGACGCUCCCAGGCGAGUACCUAUCCUUGUAAUAGAGUUGGGUUAUCUAUAGCCUCAAUUUCGGAUAGAGAUAUUAGGAACUGCAAUUCUCUCAUGGUAGCCCGUAGUAACAUAGUGGAAUCACCGGAGCUGUGGGCAAUUGGAAAGAAAAUUGGGUUGGGGUGUCGAGAAGACGAACAGGAGGUCAUUAAUGUUUAUGAUGGUAUGGAAGUACGAGAUUCGGAGAUGAUGCCUGGGCAUAAAGAAGGGAAUGAGAAUAGUGUCUUAUGAUUAUUGUGACCUUCAAUAUAAGAGGAGUGGGGGGAGGUACUAAGUCUAGGUACCUGAGACAUAUUAUAUCGUGUGAGGGAGUUGACUUUGUGUGUUUGCAAGAAACAAAAGUGAAGUCUAUAUCUGAUGCUAAAUGUUACUCUUUGUGAGGGGAUAAUAAAGUGGGUUGGUUACACUAUGAAGGGGAGAAUGGAGGGGGAGGAAUGUUAUCUAUGUGGCAUCAAGAAGCCUUUAUAUAUGAAACUCAUCGUAUGGGAAACGGGUACAUUGCGGUAUAUGGCAGGCUCGUUAAAGAUAACCUGAGAUGUGUUGUGGUUAAUGUCUAUGCUGCCUGUAACUUGAGAAAUAAGAAGACCCUGUGGAUGGAGCUAUCGAAUAUUAAGUCUAGCUCACAUGAGGUGUUAUGGUGUUUCUGUGGUGAUUUUAAUGUGAUCAGAAGUCGUGAUGAAAGGAGAGGUAGUACGAAUAGAGCGGAUUAUACAAGUGAGAUUAGAGGUUUUAAUAACUUUAUUAAUGAUAAUCUGUUGCUGGACACUCCUAUUGUGGGGAAAAAAUAUACUUGGUUCAACUCUAAUGGGUUGGCAAAGAGCAGAAUAGAUAGGGUGUUGGUUACGGAGGAAUGGAUGGAAAAGUGGCCUAUGUGCAAACAGUACGUACAACAAAGGGAAGUCUCUGAUCAUUGUGCCAUAGUGGUGAAAUCAGUGGUAAGAGAUUGGGGACCUAAACCCUUCCGAACAAUCGAUGCGUGGUUGUCAGAAAAAGGUUUUGGCGAGAUGGUGGAGACGAAGUGGAACUCCUAUCUAAGUAGGGGGAGCGGGUUUAUAAAGAUUAAAGAAAAGUUGAAGUGUUUGAAAAGGGAUCUAAAACUAUGGAACAAGGAGGUGUUCGGGAACUUGAAUACAAGUAAGAAGAGGAUUCUGCAAGAGAUUGAGGACAUCAACUGUCAAGAUUGUAGUGGGAUUAUGACGGAAGAAGCCAGGUUUAAAAGGUGUGAGUUGUUAAGCCGUCUCAAGGAAGUUGAUAGAAAGUUUGACUCACUUACGUGCCAAAAAGCGAGAGCAAGCUGGCUCAAGAAUGGGGACUCUUGCACAAAGUUCUACCAUUCGACCCUUAGAUGGAGGAGUCUAAGAAAUGCAGUGAAGGGUGUGGAGAUUGGAGACCAGUGGUGUGAGGAACCUAGUACGGUGCGAAGAGAAGCGAAGUUGCUUUUUGAGAAGAGAUUUACAGCAACGAAGGAUUUGGUUGUAAGACUGGAUGCAGUUGAUUUUAAAACCCUUAGUGGUGAGGAGAACCAAGGUCUUAUAGCUGGGUUUACUGAGAAGGAAAUUAGAGAUGUCGUAUGGCAAUGUGAAGGCGCAAAGAGUCUAGGACUAGAUGGUUUCAAUUUUAAUUUCCUGAAGAAGUGCUGGGAAGUCUUAAAAGUGGAGAUUGUAGAAGCGGUGGAGCAGUUCUAUGAAAAUGGGACUAUCCCAAAAGGAUGUAAUGCCUCUUUUGUUGCUUUGGUACCCAAGGUCAGGGACCCUUCCAGGCUCGAACAAUACAGACCUAUAUCGUUAGUAGGUGCGGUAUACAAAAUUAUUGCUAAGCUGCUGGCGGAAAGGCUAAAGAAAGUCCUACCCUCUGUUGUGGAUGAAAGCCAAUCAACGUUCCUGAAGGAUAGAGGAAUCCUUGACAGUGUGUUAAUGGCUAAUGAGGUAGUUGAAGACAUAAGGAGAAGAGGGAGAAGUGGGUUGUGUCUAAAGGUAGAUUUCGAAAAAGCAUACGACUCUGUCAGAUGGGAGUUCCUAUAUGACAUGCUACAAAGGAUGGGGUUUCAUCACAGAUGGAUCAUGUGGAUCUGAGGGUGCUUGGAAAGUGCUUCUAUAUCAGUUCUUGUUAAUGGGAGUCCUACGGAGGAAUUUAAACCCUCUAGAGGGCUUAGGCAGGGUGAUCCCUUGGCACCAUUCCUUUUUCUUGUUGUAGCUGAAGGCUUGGCUGGGUUAGUAAGGCAGGCUGUGAAGACAAACAUGUUGCAUGGUCUUAAGAUCGGAAGAAAAGAGGUUGAUGUGUGCCUCCUACAGUAUGCAGACGAUACCUUGUUCCUCUGUCAAAACUCGUUUACCAAUGUGGUGACUUUGAAGGCUAUUCUAAGGGGUUUUGAGAUAGCCUCAGGGCUGAAGAUUAAUUUCCAUAAAUCAAAGCUAGUAAGCUUUAAUGUCCUUAGUAGUGAUAUUGACUGUUACACAAAGCCAAUCUUCUAUCAUCACCAUUCACCAGCCAUUAACGCUUUUCCUUAUCUCUCUCUUCUCUCUCUAUCCUAAGGCCAAACGCAACAUCUUCACUCACCAUUUCCUUCUUCACCCUGCUCCUCACCAAUGGCUUCCCUCACUCUCCCUAACCACUAUCUUCCCACCUUGCUUCGCUCUCACUCCCCCAACUACCCAUCUUCCCAAAAUCUCUCACUCUCUUCCACGCCAUCAAAUUCUCAAUUUUUCGGUCUCAAGUUGUCUCAUUCUCCCUCUUCCUCAAUCCCCUCUUAUUCUUUCCUCAGAACCUCCAUUUUCGCCAAGGUACAUUUCACUCUUCAUCAGCUUUUUGCAUGUUGGUAACUUAACUUAAUAGUUGUUUU
rnacentral:lncRNA from 1 species